GCCAGGUAUGAUGGCACAUGCCUGCAAUCCCUGACGUUGAUGGAGGCUAAGGCUGGUGGAUCACUUGAGUCUAGGAGUUUUGAGGUUCAGUGAGGCUAAAGCUAAUUAGAUGUCUUCAUGAAGUCAGGCACCAAUCUGAUGAGCUACCAGGAAUAGAGGACUACCAGAAUUCCUAAAGAGGUGUCAUUUGGCACAUAACAGAAAAAUGUAGGAGGUUAAAGCGUUCAUGCUGAUCAAUCUUGGGAUUAGGCCUUAGAUAGCUGUUGUACUUCCAGCCUUCCAUGCAAUAUAGGGAGAUAAAGUCUCA
rnacentral:SRP_RNA from 1 species